CCUACGGGUGGCAGCAGUGAGGAAUAUUGGUCAAUGGACGCAAGUCUGAACCAGCCAUGCCGCGUGCAGGAAGACGGCUCUAUGAGUUGUAAACUGCUUUUGUACGAGGGUAAAAGCAGAUACGCGUAGCUGUCUGAAAGUAGCGUACGAAUAAGGAUCGGCUAACUCCGUGCCAGCAGCCGCGGUAAUACGGAGGAGUCAAGCGUUAUCCGGAUUUAUUGGGUUUAAAGGGUGCGUAGGCGGUCGGAUCAGUUAGAGGUGAAAUCGCGGGGCUCCACGUCGGAACUGCCUCUGAUACUGUUCGUCUCGAGCGUAGUUGCGGUAGGCGGAAUGUGUGGUGUAGCGGUGAACUGCUU
rnacentral:rRNA from 1 species